rnacentral:rRNA from 1 species
GAUGAACGCUGGCGGCGUGCCUAAUACAUGCAAGUCGAGCGAACGGACGAGAAGCUUGCUUCUCUGAUGUUAGCGGCGGACGGGUGAGUAACACGAGGAUAACCUACCUAUAAGACUGGGAUAACUUCGGGAAACCGGAGCUAAUACCGGAUAAUAUUUUGAACCGCAUGGUUCAAAGGUGAAAGACGGUCUUGCUGUCACUUAUAGAUGGAUCCGCGCUGCAUUAGCUAGUUGGUAAGGUAACGGCUUACCAAGGCAACGAUGCAUAGCCGACCUGAGAGGGUGAUCGGCCACACUGGAACUGAGACACGGUCCAGACUCCUACGGGAGGCAGCAGUAGGGAAUCUUCCGCAAUGGGCGAAAGCCUGACGGAGCAACGCCGCGUGAGUGAUGAAGGUCUUCGGAUCGUGAAACUCUGUUAUUAGGGAAGAACAGAUGUGUAAGUAACUGUGCACAUCUUGACGGUACCUAAUCAGAAAGCCACGGCUAACUACGUG